GCGAAGAAUGUAUCCAGCCAAUUCUCAUUUGAAACACCCCACUGCUAUGAGUGCUACCCUCUGCUAGCAGGUCCUCCAUCUUUCAGGGAGAAAUUUGGGUGUGGGUGGCAGGACUGGCACUACAGCCACCAGAAAAAAAUACUGCACACCGUUCCAUUUUACUCUAGCUAGUGUGGUGCUGAGGUGACGCCCGCCGCACGGCCGCACUCAGGUUCUCGUCCCCGCGGAGGUGUGGUGGCUGAGGUGACGCCCGCCGCACGGCCGCACUCAGGUUCUCGUCCCCGCGGAGGUGUGGUUGCUGAGGUGACGCCCGCCGCACGGCCGCACUCAGGUUCUCGUCCCCGCGGAGGUGUGGUUGCUGAGGUGACGC